UGGUUUAGAGGAUUGCGUGACCUUCUCCCGUGUGCGUGCACACAUUCGUCAGACUGCAGAUGGACUCGGAUGUCGGCAAAGAACAUAAACACACGCAACAUCUCAGCACUUUGUUCCUCACAGCCCCCCAGGAGCUCCUAAUGAAAUCAACAUGCUCUGCAAGGCCAAGCGACUCCCCGGUAAUUAAGAAGCUUCUUACAGAGCCGGCAAGUUCAAGGAGAAAAAAACAAAAAAACAAAAAAAAUCCUUCUUUUGAGGAGAAGCUUACACGUCGAGAGUGGAAGGUUUUCAAAGAAAGUGGACGGGGCAAACCAAUAGGAGCCCACGGCGUUACCUUCCAACACAGCAGGAAGUCCAGCGGGUCAAACUACGACACUCCACUACAAUGAUUGACACUCAUUUCAGAGCGUACGUUUCUUAUGCGUACCCCCGACACCUGCUGGGCUCUGCAGAUCCCACCAACACUGAAGAAGAAGAAGAAG